CAAGACCUGCACUUUUGGAGCGGCCGAUGUCUGAUUAGCUAGUUGGUGGGGUAAUGGCCUACCAAAGCUUCGAUCAGUAGCUGGUCUGAGAGGACGGCCAGCCACACUGGGACUGAGACACGGCCCAGACUCCUACGGGAGGCAGCAGUGGGGAAUUUUGGACAAUGGGCGCAAGCCUGAUCCAGCCAUGCCGCGUGAGUGAAGAAGGCCUUCGGGUUGUAAAGCUCUUUCAGCCGGGAAGAAAAGGUUGCGACUAAUAAUCGCAAUCCAUGACGGUACCGAAAGAAGAAGCACCGGCUAACUACGUGCCAGCAGCCGCGGUAAUACGUAGGGUGCGAGCGUUAAUCGGAAUUACUGGGCGUAAAGCGUGCGCAGGUGGUUUUGUAAGUCAGAUGUGAAAUCCCCGGGCUUAACCUGGGAACU
rnacentral:rRNA from 1 species